rnacentral:rRNA from 1 species
UACAGAGGGUGCAAGCGUUAAUCGGAAUUACUGGGCGUAAAGCGUGCGCAGGCGGUUUUGUAAGCCAGAUGUGAAAUCCCCGGGCUUAACCUGGGAAUGGCAUUUGGGACUGCAAGGCUGGAGUGCGGCAGAGGAGACUGGAAUUCCUGGUGUAGCAGUGAAAUGCGUAGAUAUCAGGAGGAAUACCGAUGGCGAAGGCAGGUCUCUGGGCUGACACUGACGCUGAGGCACGAAAGUGUGGGGAUCAAACAGG